rnacentral:rRNA from 1 species
UAGAGUUUGAUCCUGGCUCAGAUUGAACGCUGGCGGAAUGCUUUACACAUGCAAGUCGAACGGCAGCACGGGAGCUUGCUCCUGGUGGCGAGUGGCGAACGGGUGAGUAACAUAUCGGAACGUACCCAGACGUGGGGGAUAACUAGUCGAAAGACUAGCUAAUACCGCAUACGUCCUGAGGGAGAAAGCGGGGGAUCGGUAACGACCUCGCGCGUUUGGAGCGGCCGAUAUCUGAUUAGCUAGAUGGUGAGGUAAAAGCUCACCAUGGCGACGAUCAGUAGCUGGUCUGAGAGGAUGAUCAGCCACACUGGGACUGAGACACGGCCCAGACUCCUACGGGAGGCAGCAGUGGGGAAUUUUGGACAAUGGGCGAAAGCCUGAUCCAGCCAUGCCGCGUGCAGGAUGAAGGCCUUCGGGUUGUAAACUGCUUUUGUACGGAACGAAAAGACUCUGGUUAAUACCUGGGGUCCAUGACGGUACCGUAAGAAUAAGCACCGGCUAACUACGUGCCAGCAGCCGCGGUAA